rnacentral:rRNA from 1 species
GACGAACGCUGGCGGCGUGCCUAAUACAUGCCAGUCGAGCGGACGGAUGGGACCUUGCUCCCAGACCGUCAGCGGCGGGGGGGGGAGUAACUCGUAGGCAACCUGCCUGUAAGACUGGGAGAACUCCGGGAAACCGGGGUAAAUACCGGGUAACGCUUUCCCUCACAUGAGGGAAUGCGGAAAGAUGGCAUCUCGCUAUCACUUACAGAUGGGCCCGCGUCGCAUUAGCUAGUUGGUGGGGUAAAGGCUCACCAAGGCGACGAUGCGUAGCGGACCUGAGAGGAUGAUCGGCCACACUGGAACUGAGACACGGCCCAGACUCCUACGGGAGGCAGCAGUAGGGAAUAUUGCGCAAUGGGCGAAAGCCUGAUGGAGCAACGCCGCGUGAGUGAUGAAGGUCUUCGGAUCGUAAAGCACUGUUGUUAGGGAAGAACGAGUGUCGGUGUAAAUGCCGGUGUCUUGACGGUACCUGCCGAGAAAGCAACGGCUAACUACGUG